UACGUAGGGUGCAAGCGUUGUCCGGAAUUAUUGGGCGUAAAGAGCUCGUAGGCGGUUUUGUUGCGUCGGCUGUGAAAAUCCCCGAGGCUCAACCUCGGGUCUGCAGUCGAUACGAGCAAACUAGAGUGUUGCAGGGGGAGACUGGAAUUCCUGGUGUAGCGGUGAAAAUGCGCAGAUAUCAGGAGGAACACCGGUGGCGAAGGCGGGUCUCUGGGGCAACAACUGACGCUGAGGAGCGAAAGCGUGGGGAGCGAACAGG
rnacentral:rRNA from 1 species